UACGUAGGGGGCAAGCGUUGUCCGGAUUUAUUGGGCGUAAAGAGCGUGUAGGCGGCCAUACAGGUCCGUUGUGAAAACUCGAGGCUCAACCUCGAGACGCCGGUGGAAACCAUCAGGCUAGAGUCCGGAAGAGGAGAGUGGAAUUCCUGGUGUAGCGGUGAAAUGCGCAGAUAUCAGGAAGAACACCCGUGGCUAAGGCGGCUCUCUAGUACGGUACUGACGCUGAGACGCGAAAGCGUGGGGAGCGAACAGG
rnacentral:rRNA from 1 species